CGAGCGGUAACAUUUCUAGCUUGCUAGAAGAUGACGAGCGGCGGACGGGUGAGUAAUGCUUGGGAACAUGCCUUUAGGUGGGGGACAACCAUUGGAAAGGAUGCCUAAUACCGCAUAAUGUCUACGGACCAAAGGGGGCUUCGGCUCUCGCCUUUAGAUUGGCCCAAGUGGGAUUAGCUAGUUGGUNAGGUAACGGCUNACCAAGGCNACGAUCCCUAGCUCCUUUGAGAGGAUGAUCUGCCACACUGGAACUGAGACACGGUCCAGACUCCUACGCGAGGCAGCAGUGGGGAAUAUUGCACAAUGGGCGCAAGCCUGAUGCAGCCAUGCCGCGUGUGUGGUGAAGGCCUUCGGGUUGUAAAGCACUUUCAGUCACGGAUAGGUUAGUAGUUAAUACCUGCUAGCUGUGACGUUACUGACAGAAGAAGCACCGGCUAACUCCGUGCCAGCAGCCGCGGUAAUACGGAGGGUGCGAGCGUUAAUCGGAAUUACUGGGCGUAAAGCGUACGCAGGCGGUUUGUUAAGCGAGAUGUGAAAGCCCCGGGCUUAACCUGGGAACUGCAUUUCGAACUGGCAAACUAGAGUGUGAUAGAGGGUGGUAGAAUUUCAGGUGUAGCGGUGAAAUGCGUAGAGAUCUGAAGGAAUACCGAUGGCGAAGGCAGCCACCUGGGUCAACACUGACGCUCAUGUACGAAAGCGUGGGGAGCAAACAGGAUUAGAUACCCUGGUAGUCCACGCCGUAAACGAUGUCUACUAGGAGCUGGGGUCCUUCGGACAACUUUUCCA
rnacentral:rRNA from 1 species